AACGAACGCUGGCGGCAUGCCUAACACAUGCAAGUCGAACGAGACCUUCGGGUCUAGUGGCGCACGGGUGCGUAACGCGUGGGAAUCUACCCUCAGGUUCGGAAUAACUCAGAGAAAUUUGAGCUAAUACCGGAUGAUGACGUAAGUCCAAAGAUUUAUCGCCUGAGGAUGAGCUCGCUUAGGAUUAGGUAGUUGGUGAGGUAAAGGCUCACCAAGCCGACGAUCCUUAGCUGGUCUGAGAGGAUGAUCAGCCACACUGGGACUGAGACACGGCCCAGACUCCUACGGGAGGCAGCAGUGGGGAAUAUUGGACAAUGGGCGAAAGCCUGAUCCAGCAAUGCCGCGUGAGUGAUGAAGGCCUUAGGGUUGUAAAGCUCUUUUACCCGGGAUGAUAAUGACAGUACCGGGAGAAUAAGCUCCGGCUAACUCCGUG
rnacentral:rRNA from 1 species